rnacentral:lncRNA from 1 species
GCGGGAUUUAAUUUCGAGUAUGGCCAGUGAAGGUGAAACAAGGCUGACAACCCUUUCAUUCAGAAAAAAAUAUGUGUAUGCGUCAUUUUUGUGGAUUACAGGAAAAGGCAGUUUUUAAUAUGAAAAAAAUAGGUUUUUUUUGAGAAAUUGCAGCUUUUUGUUACACCCUUCUACCUGUCUGAUCCAAAAUCGGAUCAAAUUUUUCCAACAUC